GCUUGCUGGGGGGAUUAGUGGCGAACGGGUGAGUAACACGUGAGUAACCUGCCCUUGACUCUGGGAUAAGCCUGGGAAACUGGGUCUAAUACCGGAUAUGACUCCUCAUCGCAUGGUGGGGGGUGGAAAGCUUUUGUGGUUUUGGAUGGACUCGCGGCCUAUCAGCUUGUUGGUGGGGUAAUGGCCUACCAAGGCGACGACGGGUAGCCGGCCUGAGAGGGUGACCGGCCACACUGGGACUGAGACACGGCCCAGACUCCUACGGGAGGCAGCAGUGGGGAAUAUUGCACAAUGGGCGGAAGCCUGAUGCAGCGACGCCGCGUGAGGGAUGACGGCCUUCGGGUUGUAAACCUCUUUCAGUAGGGAAGAAGCCGCAAGGUGACGGUACCUGCAGAAGAAGCGCCGGCUAACUACGUGCCAGCAGCCGCGGUAAUACGUAGGGCGCAAGCGUUAUCCGGAAUUAUUGGGCGUAAAGAGCUCGUAGGCGGUUUGUCGCGUCUGCUGUGAAAGACCGGGGCUCAACUCCGGUUCUGCAGUGGGUACGGGCAGACUAGAGUGCAGUAGGGGAGACUGGAAUUCCUGGUGUACGGUGAAAUGCGC
rnacentral:rRNA from 1 species